AGAUUAAGUUAUUAAGGGCGCACGGUGGAUGCCUUGGCACUAGAAGCCGAUGAAGGACGUUACUAACGACGAUAUGCUUUGGGGAGCUGUAAGUAAGCUUUGAUCCAGAGAUUUCCGAAUGGGGAAACCCAGCAUGAGUUAUGUCAUGUUAUCGAUAUGUGAAUACAUAGCAUAUCAGAAGGCACACCCGGAGAACUGAAACAUCUUAGUACCCGGAGGAAGAGAAAGAAAAUUCGAUUCCCUUAGUAGCGGCGAGCGAAACGGGAAGAGCCCAAACCAAAAAGCUUGCUUGUUGGGGUUGUAGGACACUCUAUACGGAGUUACAAAGGACGACAUUAGACGAAUCAUCUGGAAAGAUGAAUCAAAGAAGGUAAUAAUCCUGUAGUCGAAAAUGUUGUCUCUCUUGAGUGGAUCCUGAGUACGACGGAGCAC
rnacentral:rRNA from 1 species